rnacentral:rRNA from 1 species
GUAACAAAGGUUUCCGUAGGUGAACCUGCGGAAGGAUCAUUAAUUAUGUUAAAGCGCCUUACCUUAGGGUUUCCUCUGGGGUAAGUGAUUGCUUCUACACUGUGAAAAUUUGGCUGAGAGACUCAGACUGGUCAUGGGUAGACCUAUCUGGGGUUUGAUCGAUGCCACUCCUGGUUUCAGGAGUACCCUUCAUAAUAAACCUAGAAAUUCAGUAUUAUAAAGUUUAAUAAAAAACAACUUUUAACAAUGGAUCUCUUGGUUCUCGCAUCGAUGAAGAACGUAGCAAAGUGCGAUAACUAGUGUGAAUUGCAUAUUCAGUGAAUCAUCGAGUCUUUGAACGCAGCUUGCACUCUAUGGUUUUUCUAUAGAGUACGCCUGCUUCAGUAUCAUCACAAACCCACACAUAACAUUUGUUUAUGUGGUGAUGGGUCGCAUCGCUGUUUUAUUACAGUGAGCACCUAAAAUGUGUGUGAUUUUCUGUCUGGCUUGCUAGGCAGGAAUAUUACGCUGGUCUCAGGAUCUUUUUUUUUGGUUCGCCCAGGAAGUAAAGUACAAGAGUAUAAUCCAGUAACUUUCAAACUAUGAUCUGAAGUCAGGUGGGAUUACCCGCUGAACUUAAGCAUAUCAAUAAGCGGAGGAG